CUUAUUCUGCUAACAGUCUCUUAUUCCGCUAACACCGGAAAACGCGCAACCCACUACCUCCACUAACCCCGACCCUAGCUUACUCUUCUGCUCACUACCUCCACUAACCCCGACCCUAGCUUACUCUUCUGCUCACUACCUCCCACCCCACUGCGCCCCCACCACCCACCCCUCGACGCCCCACCAGAAUCUCUCUAGCACCCCCACCCCCACCCUUCCGGCGCCGACCACCAGAACCGCCCCAGCACCUCCACCCAUCUGGCGCCCCACCCGCACCGCCCUAGCACCCCCACCCCCUCCACACCUCCGGCGCCCCAACGCGCCACCAGAUCCACCAGGGCGCCUCUAGCCGUCUCCAUCCGCCCUUUUCUUGUAGAUCGCCGGCGACAUCCAGGGCGCACGGCCACCUUCCAGCAACCACCGUGACCAGAUCCGGCGACUUCGGCCUCCUCCUUCCUGCAACAGGCCGAGGUUGAAAAGGAGGCCGGCGAGCUCGAGCCACCGCCCCACGGCUCCCCCGCGCGAAUGGAUCCAGGACUACUAGGUGGCCAAAUCCGGCAGGCGGCAUCACCGGUAAGGCACUCGAUGGCACGCCCCUGCCAUGGAGAACCACCACUGCCCGAAGAGCAAAACGAGCGUGCGCAAAGCUCCCCGUGGGCUGCUCUGUACGAUGGCUCCACCGUGCAGUCCGCACGCGGCCCCUUGUCCGCCUGCCCACCUCGCAAUGGCAGUUGCCGGUCGCUGCACCUUCACGCGGAGGCGGCCAAGGACGCAAAAGUGGAGAAGCGGCGACGAGAUCUCAUUUUCUAGCCCCCCGACAAGCUACCCCUCCUCCCCUUGAAGUCAAACCGCACCGACCUUGCAGUGCGCCGGCGCGCGCGAUGUGGUUCACGCGUUGCCUUGCUGUUGCCCCUCAUCUGUGCGUUUCUUGUUGUUCUUCUGAAGAGAUAUAAAUAUGCAAAUGCAGUCAACUGUUGUUUUGCUAAGGGGAGCCUUGGCGCAGUGGUAAAGCUGCUGCCUUGUGACCAUGAGGUCAUGGGUUCAAGUCCUGGAAACAGCCUCUUACAAAAAUGUAGGGAAAGGCUGCGUACUAUAGACCCAAAGUGGUCGGACCCUUCUCUGGACCCUGCGCAAGCGAGAGCUACAUGCAUCAGGUUGCCCUUUUUUAGUCAACUGUUGUUUUGCUCUUCAGGUUCAUUUUUACUUCUCUUUUUUUGCAGAAAAGAUAGCCAGUGCAUUCCGCCGACCUCCUCCCACAUGCCCACCUGAAGUGCAUUGCUGUUGGGCGCCCUUGGAUCUGAUUGUGUAUUUUUUUUAGAAACGUGUAUUUUUUUAAGUAGUCUUUGUAAAGUUUUGGUCUAUUUGUGGACUCCCAUUUGAUUGCAGCCCAUGUGCACGACGCGUGCAGUCCUGUUGGCCGGGCUGAGCAGGAUGGUUCCCUGUUGUAGUGCACGUUGCCGGGCGUGUAGUCCAAAACAUCUCCCGGUGCAUCCCGUGCUGUUGGACAGCCAUCGGUGAACCGAAGAAGUUGGGAUAUACUUUGUGUGUGAUUGUAAUGUGGAGACAUAAAAAGGGACUAUUUGUGUGGAUUA